UGGGGAAUAUUGCACAAUGGGCGAAAGCCUGAUGCAGCGACGCCGCGUGAGGGAUGACGGCCUUCGGGUUGUAAACCUCUUUCAGCAGGGACGAAGCGCAAGUGACGGUACCUGCAGAAGAAGCACCGGCUAACUACGUGCCAGCAGCCGCGGUAAUACGUAGGGUGCAAGCGUUGUCCGGAAUUACUGGGCGUAAAGAGUUCGUAGGCGGUUUGUCGCGUCGUUUGUGAAAACCAGCAGCUCAACUGCUGGCUUGCAGGCGAUACGGGCAGACUUGAGUACUGCAGGGGAGACUGGAAUUCCUGGUGUAGCGGUGAAAUGCGCAGAGAUCAGGAGGAACACCGGUGGCGAAGGCGGGUCUCUGGGCAGUAACUGACGCUGAGGAACGAAAGCGUGGGUAGCGAACAGG
rnacentral:rRNA from 1 species